rnacentral:rRNA from 1 species
UACGGGGGGUGCGAGCGUUGUCCGGAAUCACUGGGCGUAAAGGGCGCGUAGGCGGCCUGAUAAGUAGGGGGUGAAAUCCUGCGGCUUAACCGCAGGGCUGCCUUCUAAACUGUCAGGCUAGGGCACGGUAGAGGCAGAUGGAAUUCCCGGUGUAGCGGUGGAAUGCGUAGAGAUCGGGAAGAACAUCAGUGGCGAAGGCGGUCUGCUGGGCCGUUGCUGACGCUGAGGCGCGACAGCGUGGGGAGCAAACAGG